UCCGAAAGGAUGGCUAAUACCGCAUAAGACCUGAGGGUGAAAGCCGGGGACCGCAAGGCCCGGCGCAGACGGAGCGGCCGAUGAUUGAUUAGCUAGUUGGGGAGGUAAAGGCUCACCAAGGCGACGAUCAAUAGCUGGUCUGAGAGGACGACCAGCCACACUGGAACUGAGACACGGUCCAGACUCCUACGGGAGGCAGCAGUGGGGAAUUUUGGACAAUGGGGGCAACCCUGAUCCAGCCAUGCCGCGUGCGGGGAGAAGGCCUUCGGGUUGUAAACCGCUUUUGUCAGGGACGAAAAGCUCCGGAGUAAUAUGCCGGAGUGCUGACGGUACCUGAAGAAUAAGCACCGGCUAACUACGUGCCAGCAGCCGCGGUAAUACGUAGGGUGCAAGCGUUAAUCGGAAUUACUGGGCGUAAAGCGUGCGCAGGCGGUUGGGUAAGACAGAUGUGAAAUCCCCGGGCUUAACCUGGGAACUGCAUUUGUGACUGUCCGACUGGAGUACGUCAGAGGGGGGUGGAAUUCCACGUGUAGCAGUGAAAUGCGUAGAUAUGUGGAAGAACACCGAUGGCGAAGGCAGCCCCGU
rnacentral:rRNA from 1 species